UCGUGUCCGUCCGCCCGCCGCCGCCCAUUGCUUCCCCUUUCUCCAAUCUUUCUCAUCUUCGGCGACCUAGCGCAGAUGUCUACCUCCUCCACCACACACUCAAAAUGGUGACAGUAUGGUCCAAUGCCUCUCACAAGGUGUCCUGACUACCCACGCCCAGAGCCUCUUAAACGGUGGGUCAGUAAGACUGAUGACAACGGCAACCUUGGGCGCGAAUUUGUGAAAUGCUUGAGCAAAACAAUGGCGGGUAGGGAUGGCAAGAUCCUGAAGAAAUGUACCCAUUUCGAGGAUUCAGUUUGAGGGCUACAUUGAUUCGAGCGGGACCGUAAUCUAGGAGCUCAAUUUGGGCGGGGAGUCCCCGAUUGUUGUGAAGAAUUUGGGGAUCUCGGACAGAGGGGCAAGCAGGGUCUUGUCGAUGGCGAGGUAUUCGCGCAAUGCUGAACUGCACGCGAAGUCCGAACUGAAGAAGAUCAAGAAACAUCUAAUGCAGAUGAUCGAUUUGCAUAAGCAAGCAAAUAUCAUGGAAGGGGGGGUUCUAUUGUUGUAUCAUUGCUCUGUUUUUCUUUUACUUGUUGUUCAUCCGUCAUGAGAAUGAGCAUUUGGGCCUGUUAGGGUAGAGGACGCGAUCUGUGCGCCAUACCAGGUUCAUGUAACUGUAUUGAAGCAAAAAAUUGGAAAAUUAUUGA